rnacentral:rRNA from 1 species
AGCGAACGCUGGCGGCAGGCCUAACACAUGCAAGUCGAACGAAGUCUUCGGACUUAGUGGCGGACGGGUGAGUAACACGUGGGAACGUACCUUUUGGUUCGGAACAACUCAGGGAAACUUGAGCUAAUACCGGAUGAGCCCUUAGGGGGAAAGACUUAUCGCCGAAAGAGCGGCCCGCGUUAGAUUAGCUAGUUGGUGGGGUAAAGGCUCACCAAGGCUACGAUCUAUAGCUGGUCUGAGAGGAUGAUCAGCCACACUGGGACUGAGACACGGCCCAGACUCCUACGGGAGGCAGCAGUGGGGAAUCUUGCGCAAUGGGCGAAAGCCUGACGCAGCCAUGCCGCGUGAAUGAUGAAGGUCUUAGGAUUGUAAAAUUCUUUUACCAGGGACGAUAAUGACGGUACCUGGAGAAAAAGCCCCGGCUAACUUCGUGCCAGCCGCCGCGGUAACAC